CGUCCUGAGUGCCAGUGUUCAGCCCCGGCUUGCUGGCCGGCAACCCUCGUAGCGCAGUGGGGUGCCCCGGGUGGUGACGGGGCCGCGGCGACCAGCCUGCGGCAAGUGCAGACC
rnacentral:ncRNA from 1 species